GUACUAUAGGCAUAUUGCAGUAAGUUCUGACGUCGUAUAGGGUGGGCAGUGGCAUGAUCUGCCCACCCGACCUUCUACUAACCGCGCUCUAGCUGCAGUUCCAUUAUCGGUCGACAGAUUUACAUAGACAAACAGCAGGCGCUGUUCAAUUUCUUCAGGGCAGUGACGUCACUGCCCUACCAGAAAUGAAAUGUAACGUCACAGUAGGCCUACAACAACUACAGAUAUGAUCGAGAUCUUUGCGAAAUUUCUUUGCAAAUCAUACAAAAAUGUAACAUGAUUUGAGUACUUUGCCACUGAUUACAAUAAUAAACAAACAACAUUUUAUUUAAAAAAAAAAAUUGUGGAUCUACUUUUCUAGUGGAUGAAUCUUUAGUAGGGCUCUGCCCCUCCUGCCCAAGUGAACGAGCCGCGUCUGAUAAGAGAAUCAGGGGAGCCAGUUCAUAGCCUAUGUCUUUGGCAAGUAGCCUACUACAGACACACAGGUGAAGAACAGUCAGCCAGUAGGCUACUACUGUAGCACAACCAGACCCUUACAAAAAAAAAACUGCAUUACAUCAAGUGUCAAACUGCAGAUUUCUGAAUAUGAAAACCGCAGCUUUGGAGAAAAUAUUUGCAGUUCUUGUGCAGGGAAUGCAGUAUUUUAGACACAAAAACCUGCAUUGUAUUACAUAAUACUGUACUUUACUACAGAAAUGCAGUAUUUUGGAUAUGAAAAUACUAUACUGCACUUUAGCCUACUGUGGUACUGUAUAACUGAACAUCAAAGCUGUAUCUAUUAGAAGAAUACGUGUCUCAGUCAAAACUCACAGAAGAACAAUCCAAAAUGGACAGGGUAAAAGAGAAGCCUCCAAAAACACACAGAAGAUCCAGAAACAGCAUAAACGGAAAUCCAAAGAGAGUCCUUAAAGAAUGUUCAAACGCACAGAGGAUACUGACUUAACUGAGGGAGAGAAAAGUCCAAGAUCAAGGGCAGAGAGCACUGUGUGACGGCCAAGGGUACCGAUCUGAGUCUCUGGAACAGCGACGAGGACAGCCAGAUAGCCAAGGUCUCAGCUGCUUAAAAAGCGUUUCAGUGUGAUUACCCACAGGUUGUCUGUAAUCUGGAAGCUUGGCACAUUUAGCAGCAUUCUACCUGGUCGUUUCAGUCCCUCCUGGCCUCUUUCUACAUCCAUAUCCUUCCUGACGCUUCUGGCUACUGUAGGGCCGGCCCGGCUAUCCGUAGGCUAUCUGAGAAAACGUUUUGGAAAAGACGGGCGAUAUGGACCCAACCAACUCUUUUUGGGAGGGGAGAACUCCCUCACAUG